GCCCCGGUGGCUCAGUGGUUAGAGCGACGGCUUCGUAAGCCGUGGGUCGCGGGUUCAAAUCCCGCCCGGGGCU
rnacentral:tRNA from 1 species